UUUGGCCUACGGGAGGCAGCAGUGGGGAAUAUUGGACAAUGGGGGAAACUCUGAUCCAGCGACGCCGCGUGAGUGAAGAAGUAUUUCGGUAUGUAAAGCUCUAUCAGCAGGGAAGAAAAUGACGGUACCUGACUAAGAAGCCCCGGCUAACUACGUGCCAGCAGCCGCGGUAAUACGUAGGGGGCAAGCGUUAUCCGGAUUUACUGGGUGUAAAGGGAGCGUAGACGGCUGAGCAAGCCUGAAGUGAAAGGCGGGGGCCCAACCCCCGGACUGCUUUGGGAACUGUACGGCUGGAGUGCAG
rnacentral:rRNA from 1 species